UCUAAUAUGGCAGAUUAGUGCAAUGAAUUUAAGAUUCAUAUAUAAAUUACAAUAUUUUAUUAGAA
rnacentral:tRNA from 1 species